UUGCAUGUGUAUAUCUAGCUGUCCCAGCACCAUUUGUUGAAAGAGUAUCCUUUCCCCACUGAAUGGUCUUGGUACCCCUGUCAAAAAUCAAAUGACCGUAGAUGUAUGAAUUUAUUUCUGGACUCUUAAUUCUGUUCCAGUGAUAUAUAUGUUUAUCAUUAUGCCAGCACCAUAUUAUUUUUAUUAAUAUAACGUUGUGAAUGCUCUACUUUUAUUACCCUAGAUGUGCUUCUGAUAUGUAGUACAUUUGUGUAUUGUGAUUAGUAUUUUGUAUUUUCCUUUUUUUUUUUUUUUUGGAGCAUGUACUUUUGUGUGGAUCAUUUAUAUAAUUAGUACCCUUGUCAUUUAAAAUAAUUAUGAAGUGUUUGUUUUAUUGCCUUACUGUGCUGUGCUUGCUUUUGUCAAACUCUUAUGUCACGCUGUUUUCUGAGUUGGUUUUUACUCUUUUAGAUAGCCUUGUUUGCACUGUUUUUUCUGGACCCAGACUCAUUAGCUAUCAAGCCUCACCCGCUGGAUGUCAGGGAAUGCUGGCUGAGUUUUUUAAUUCAUGCUCCCAGAAACUUGGAGGACCACUCCCACCUGCCUCAGCCCAGACCCAGUACUUCCUGCCAGUUGUGAAUUGAAUUUCUGACCUCUUUCUUGAACCAGAGCUCUCCAGAGGUCAGGAGUGGCACCGGCCUUAGGAUCUGCUGUAUACUUUUUUGUAAAUUACUAUCCCUGAGUUGUCAUACUGCUGAGGAGACACAUGGGAAAAAACUAUCUUUUGAACUUCUCUCGUGCUGCCAAAACAAGCACCUACAAGUGCUGUUUCCAUAUGCAAUAUGUCCCUGUCUUUAGAAAGGAGGAGCUCCCAGAGAGAAUGGGACUUGUUCAGGUUGCCCAGUGACCACACAGUGCUACUAGGAACAGAAUUCAUCCCUCACUCCCAUGGAUUCUCGUCUUGUCAUCCUAACCAAACACUCCUUUCCUAUUGGGCAACAGAAGAUAGAAUUUACAUUUCAGUAGUUUCCCCAGGGGAGGUCUUGAGUUUCUUCUUCCCUGCUCUUGUGAAUAACCAGGUAAGGAGACCCAGUGAAAUGACUUGCACGCAUUGUGCUGCUCCUUAACAGAUCAAGAUCAUUGGCUCUGGCAGCAGACCUGUGAGAGGAGGGGCAGGAGAGAAAGUUCACAGCUUCAGGGUGUCCUGAGCUCUUUAGGGAUUUUGGAUGAGCAGAGAUGCCCAGUUUUCUCCCAUAACAAACAGGGUAUCUUCUGUGAAACUUGGCUCUAGUGGUUAUUGACCAACUUGUUGGUAUAUAUAAACUUUUCCUAUGGGAAUUUUCAAACAGAUGCAAAAGUCGAGAGGAUAAUGUAAUGAAUUACCAGGUACCUGUCACCCAGCUUGUGGAAUUAUCAAUAUAUGGCCAAUCGUGUUUCAUCUCUACCCCCUUUCGCUCCCUCUCCCCACUGGAUUAUUUUGAACCAAAAUUAGUAUAUUGAUCAAGUUUUCAGUUUCUACUUACUCUUGAAGUGGUUUCCCUCAGAUGUUAGGAUGUGAGCUCUCAUUUAGAUUGGUUUUAGCAGCUUCAUUGGGCCGGUCGUUCUCUCUCUGGCAGUGUUGUUGUACUGGCAGAAUCACAGGAAUUUUUUGGCCUCAAACUCUGUUCUUUUGUGCCUCCCACUCCCGGUGUCCUGGGAACCUGUCAUGCCUCUUCCCUGUGUUCCUAGUGCCUGGACCUCCUCUCAUCAGCUCUCCCAGGUCAUCAACCCUUACGUUGGAGGCUAAGAAUUUCUCUAUAUGAGGGUCUAGGCUGGCAGGUAGAAGGUGCUUAAUAACGAGUUGUUGAUGACUGACUGGAUGUAUUCUGUUUGGCUUUCCACUCACCUGAACCUCACACUCAGCUGUUUUAACAGUGCACUUGGUUCUGUGUAUCUUAAAUGAGGAGGAACUUACCUGAGCCUCGCCACUGCUUCUGUCCAGCUGCAGAGUCUGGAUUGGAUUUUCCUGGCUCCCCCUGCUGGCCACUCCUGGGCAGCUGCAUACAGGUGCCUCUGGUGGCGUAAGACUGGAGCCAGAGCCAAGUUCUGCCAAGGGAAAGUAGAACAUUGUUGUGAAGUGCCCGGGCUAGUCCAGGCAGGUCUCAGUAGGAGAAGAGCAGCUUGAGAACCGUUCUGGGAAGGGCAGCUUUCUGGGUAAGGGACAGGGAAGGUGGGCCACUGCCCACAAAGUCAGGAGGGCAGGGUUGAGGCCUCAGCACUGGAAGACCACAUGGGCCCGUAAAUGAGCUGGUCGUUGUGUGGGGAUUGGGGCCUAUACUGACAAUAGAGAUGGGCUCCUUCUCCCCUUAAGACAAAGCAGCCUGGGGUUAGACAUGGUCACCAGGCAAGCAGAGGGGCUACAGAGUUUUAUCUCAGCCUCCAUGAAAAUUGAGGCCAGGAGGGUGGUGAACGUAGGUGGGAGCAUCCCCAGAGUUCAUGGUCCCACGUGGGAUACAUGACCCCACCUCCUAGCUCUAAAGACAAGUAAUGACUCUGUGGAACUCUGGGUGCAUGUUUCUGUGGGGGCUCCUCCCUCCACUGUCUGUAAAUAUAAUAAAUUCCCCACAUCUGUCAACCCCUUCCAUCACAUUUCUUGGUUAUUUACAUGUAUUUGUCUUUUCCACGGCACAACUUCCCAGAAAGUGGGCUGUGGCAGAAUGCAUCUCGCCUGACUCCAGCCAGCUGCAGGUGUCUGGAAGAGGGUUGAAGAUGGUCAGAUGCUAAGGGCAGAGCCCCUCUUCUUCUCUCCACCCCCAAGCCGCAAGUGCCAGGGUAAGAAAGCUGAGAUUCAGAAGGGUUCUGCACAAGAGAGCCAAUUUUUGGAUGCUGCCACACAGAGAGAGACGACAGCCAGUCAGUCUUGAAGAGCAGCAGCCAACCAACAGAGAGAUGGCCACUUCCCCAUGGCCUCCCGGCCCCUGUCCACAGCCCCGCCGCAGACAGGAGCAGGGGGGAUGUGACAAGGGACAGACCGCCUUCCGCCACCCUCCACUCAGGCCACCAGGGCCAUGGCCACAUCUAGCUUCCCUGGGAGUGGAGGCCGAGAGCUUUGAAGGAGAGCUUGACCUGGACAUUUUUAAGUACCAGCCCGUGUAAUCCUCACAGCAGCUGCGAGAAUAAGAGCUGCACCUGCCAGAGCACACCCGGUUAGAAAGAGGUGGUGCUGGGAUCUGCACCCGCUGGCCAUCUCUGGAGACCACCAUGAGACAGGGCCCCUGGUGACCGCCCGGGGAAGGGGCAGGUGCAGCGCCGUGGAAGGUCGGAGGAGGGCAGAGGCAAACAAGGCCAUGGAAACGAGCCACAAGAGAAAGCAACAUUCACCUUUAAUUGCAUCACAGACCAAACGUUAACCCACUGAAGACCCGCCACCCCGUUAACUGGCUAGAAUGGGGGUGUUCCUGCGGCUCCACUGAACAGAAACAGAUCCUGAGACCUUAAGGUAAGCGUCUGAACACUGUCACCAUGUACAACGUCUAUCUAUUGCUUUACUGUACAAUCAGAGCGAGAAACAAAUGCAUUCGAUGCUGUGGAGGUAGAAGACACCGUGGUUGCUACCCCAACCCCAAAUGUCUGCAUCAGGACCAGCUGAGCUCUUCUUAGUCGUUAUCUUUUGAAUAAAUGUUACGCAUUCGAAUAGAACAAUUUAUGCUAACAAAAUACAGUUGACCCUUGAACAGUUUUCCAGGGUUUGAACUGAAUGAGUCCACUUAUAUGCGAAUCUUUUUCAACAGUAAAUACUAUGGUAGGUGGUACACCAUCUGCAGUUUGCUGAACCCACAGACGUGGAACCGCGGACGUGGAAGAAUCACAUACACAGAGGGCCGACACUAAGUUGUAUGUGUAUUUUUGACUGCUCGGAGGGUCGACGCCCCUAACCUCCGUGUUGUUCAAGGGUCAAGUGUACUGCUUUCAUGUUUUAUAUAUUGAGUUUAUUCAUCUGACAAAUGAGGGAGCUAAGUUUAGAGAGUAAUUUGCACAAAGCACAGUGCUCAGCUACUAGAGAAAGCAACACCCUGCCACUGCCGGGCCAGUGCCCUCCCGAUCCUCCUGGCCACCCUGGAGUAUUCCCCUCCUCCCCGAUUUACAGCCGGGCAGACAGAGGUCCUGAGAGGACUCGGGGCAGCUGGACUGAGAACUAGCCCCUGAGCAUGUGUUCUUACCACCUCCAGCCUCAGCAGAGGUUAGCUUCUGGUAAAAGGUGUGGGUAGUUUUUAUCAGUGUACUUGGUAGCCAGGGCUGUCCUGAUAGAGGUGACAGGUUCUGUGCAGGGAAACUUGAGCACUUAAGUGACUCAGAAAGCACCAUGGGUGCUUGGUCUCAUGGCCACAGGUGGGCCCCCCGGCAGGGACCUUGUGACCCAAUCAUAGGCCACAGUGGGUGGAAAACUGAAUCUUUCCCCAGCCCCACCAGACUGUAAACCAGAGUAAGGGGUGCCGUGAACACCUGCGGGAGAUAGGGGUGCACCUGUCGAUUUAUCUGGGGACGGGAGCCGGCUUGGCCAGACAGCGACUUGAGGACCACCGCCACAAUGGCGAGAGGCAGUGUGGUCUACACCACAGAACUCAAAGGAGCCAACCAUGGACCAGGUGUUAUGAAAAUGCAGCUGAAAGCACACAUUCAGGAUCCCACCUUCUGUGGCCCCUGGGAGAGGGUGCCACUAGAGGGAUGUGAAAGAGAUGCCUUGUUUCUCUUGCCAACUUUCUUUUGGGAUGUGUCCCUUAAAGCACUGCCUGUCAUACUUUGCUAACGAAAGAUAAUGGACAGCCAGACUUCAAUUAUCCACAAGUGGAUUAUCCAUUUGGGGGAUUAGCUAAGCAAAAUUAAAGCUGCAGACCAG